rnacentral:rRNA from 1 species
AGCGAACGCUGGCGGCGUGCUUAACACAUGCAAGUCGAGUGCGCGGUUCGUAGCAAUACGAACUGGCGCACGGCGCACGGGUGAGGAACACGUGGGCAACAUGCCCUCCGAUGGGGAAUAACCCGCCGAAAGGCGGGCUAAUACCGCAUACGAUUCCGGGGACCUCGGUUCCUGGACUGAAAGCCCGCAAGGGCGUCGGUGGAGUGGCCCGCGGCCGAUUAGCUUGUUGGCGGGGAACGGCCCACCAAGGCAAUGAUCGGUAGCCGGUCUGAGAGGAUGAUCGGCCACACUGGAACUGAGACACGGUCCAGACUCCUACGGGAGGCAGCAGUGGGGAAUCUUGCGCAAUGGGCGAAAGCCUGACGCAGCGACGCCGCGU